UACGUAGGGUGCAAGCGUUAAUCGGAAUUACUGGGCGUAAAGCGUGCGCAGGCGGUUAUGUAAGACAGAUGUGAAAUGCCCGGGCUUAACCUGGGAACUGCAUUUGUGACUGCAUGGCUAGAGUUUGGCAGAGGGGGGUAGAAUUCCACGUGUAGCAGUGAAAUGCGUAGAUAUGUGGAGGAAUACCGAUGGCGAAGGCAGCCCCCUGGGUCAAUACUGACGCUCAUGCACGAAAGCGUGGGGAGCAAACAGG
rnacentral:rRNA from 1 species